UGUAUGUGCAAAAAUUAUUUAUUUGAGGUUUUCACAGCAUGAGCAUAUAAUAUUUGAGGUUUUCAAGUGACCUCCUUUUUGAACAUGAAUGCAAAAUAAGGAAAACAAAUAUGAUUAAAAUUGUUAAGUUUGUUUAUAAAAUCAUCAUUUUUCUUUCUGUAUUUCUUGUUGCAACAAAUGCUAACGAUAUACUUAUUGAAUGUUAUCAAGAUUCUGAUUGUCUAAAACAUAUGCGAUUUCCAAAAUUUGUUCAGAGGUGUAUUCACUACCGAUGUAUAUGUAUUGGUACAGAAUGAUAGAACCAUAUGAUCCUAGAUUGAAGAGUGAAUUCUUGCAAUCACCAAUGUAUUAACUAUGGACAACUGCAGGGAUUAAUUUCUCGAGAUGUAUAUAACUAAGAUCUAUUUCAAAACCACUUAUGCAACAUGUUGGUUGUUUGUCGGUUUAUUUAGUUUGUACUAAUUUUAUGGUUA